rnacentral:rRNA from 1 species
GUGCCAGCAGCCGCGGUAAUACGGAGGGUGCGAGCGUUAAUCGGAAUUACUGGGCGUAAAGCGCAUGCAGGUGGUUUGUUAAGUCAGAUGUGAAAGCCCGGGGCUCAACCUCGGAAUAGCAUUUGAAACUGGCAGACUAGAGUACUGUAGAGGGGGGUAGAAUUUCCAGGGGUAGCGGUGAAAUGCGUAGAGAUCUGAAGGAAUACCGGUGGCGAAGGCGGCCCCCUGGACAGAUACUGACACUCAGAUGCGAAAGCGUGGGGAGCAAACAGGAUUAGAUACCCCUGGUAGUCC